CCUGCCCAAGAGAUCGGGAUAACACCUGGAAACAGAUGCUAAUACCGGAUAACAACAGAUGAUGCCUAUCAACUGUUUAAAAGAUGGUUCUGCUAUCACUCUUGGAUGGACCUGCGGUGCAUUAGCUAGUUGGUAGGGUAACGGCCUACCAAGGCGAUGAUGCAUAGCCGAGUUGAGAGACUGAUCGGCCACAUUGGGACUGAGAUACGGCCCAGACUCCUACGGGAGGCAGCAGUU
rnacentral:rRNA from 1 species